AUGAUUGGUGUGAGUAACUCCACUAAAAAUGCAAAAUCAAAGCUUUUCAGGUACUCUGCAAUAAAAAUGCCAAAGUUAUUAUUUGGAGACUUCUUAUCAUUUCAAUUAAUUGUAAUUCAGGAGUGCGAUGGAGAUACACAGGGCAUCAAGAACUGACAAUUCAAGAGCUCAUAAUAAUAGAAGGCUAACGCUACCCAUUGAUUGCAUGGUUGAGGUUAUUUUGUGGAUAACCAGUUCAAAUCUAAGCAAACAGAACAUUUAAACACCAUCAUUUCGUUGAGGAAUGCGAGUGGGAGUAGCGCAAAUGACAUGGUGAAGGGGCCUAGCAUCACACGUGAGAAUGUGGCACUCUUGUGGGAGACUGAACAAGGCUACUGGUGAUUGAACAAAAAAUCAGGCCAGUCUGCUUAUCAGGUGGGUGACAUGUCUACUUGAAUGUGAAGCAAUGGUUAUUUUCUUUGAAAACUUUUCAUUUUUCUAUUACUAGUUUGGUGCAACCGAUAUGUGGACCACACUGAGUUUCGGAAGUUCAUAUUCGCAGUGGAACGUCAUGUUUACAUGAUUUGAGGUUUGCUAAGGAGGCACUCUCCCCUUCUGUCUCACUAUGUGAUGAUUUAGACUGUUCAUCUAGAAGUUCACACAAAAGAUGGUCCACACAUAGAAAAUCGUAAUUGUAUAAAAGCAACUUGAAACAAUGGUACAUAUGUUAUGGGACCUGGAAGAUGUCAUAUCAGUGAGAUUUCUAUCAUGUGGGCCAUAUGUUAUAGGACCUAGAUAUAUGGUUUGCUUCAUCAUAGCAUGGAGUGAACGGGCAAGCUAAUUUGGUGAUCCUUGCUAAUAUAUCUCAUUUAGUACUACACUGUCAAUAGAUUAAUAGUCAACUUCUCUAUUCUUUUUACUUUAUUUCGAACUCGUUUUCUUUUUCUUUUUUUUGCUGAUAUAUUUCUUAGACAUAUUCCAGUUCAUGUCGCAUUCUGUUGUAAGAAACUUUGGUUUUGAUUAUCACAGCCUAUCAAACAGUGUUGGAAGGAUGAUUGACAAUUGAUAACCUACUAGCAGCGGUAUCACAACUGCUUGUACCAUAACAGUUUUCCUGCCAACAUGCCACUUGUGUAGGAAAUCAUUACUAUGAAAAAAAUUUUGCCCUCCUUAUAAAAAAUUAGGCUGAUCAGAUAAAUAGGUGGGUUAAACCUGUAUGCUGAGUAAGACUGUCAUCUGUCCAUUGAUUCCAAUGGUAUGGCCCACCUGAUGAGCGGACUGGCCUGAUUUUUGUGCUCUUCUUGGUGAUGCCUACCAUUUUCCUAGUAUUGCUGCCUGUUAUAGACAAGCAGUAUGUACUACACUGGCGGGAUACAACACAAUAAGUUGUCGUACCUUACCUGUAGGUGAUCGGUUCUUGGGAUGAUUUCUUAAAUUGUUAUAUGGUGGUUUCUUAUUUCUGACAGAAGUUCAGGAUUAGAGGCAUGCUUAAGGUAGGCAGAGACAACAUCAAAUUUGUCUUUUCAAGCUAAUGGGGAAGGGAUCCUCAAACAAAGCAAAGUUCUUGGCUAUUAGAACUGAUGAGGAGCUUUCCGUGAAUUGAUAGCAGAUGGAGACUCUAUAAUGCUAUCUCUUAGGCCUCUAGGAGGUGCAUUCCUGCUUUGAAGCCGAAUCCUAUCUUGAAUGAAUUAAGGCACAUAUUCCACUCUUACAUCUUCUGCUCUAAAAUCAGGCCACCAACAAACAAGAUGAAUGGAUGAGUAGAAAAAGUUGUUUGAAUGGCCAAUUUACUUUAUACAUUGUGACCCACGUGAGUGAAACUGCCAAUUUUCAAGGUACAAAUCAUCUAAGGGUGUCUUGGAAUUUUUCCAAAGUUCUCUUUAGAAUUAUUUUUCAGUUCUGUUUUGGAUGAAUUGUUGAAAAGAAAACAGCCCAUCAUACUCCUCUGAGGGUCCUUACUCAUGUCUCGGUGGUAAACUCACAAGAGUCUCAACAUCAGGUCAUGGGUUUGAGUACCCAUUGUGGUGAAAUUCCAUUGUGGGGUGUGAGUGCGUGUGUAAAAAAAAAAAAUGUACUUGUCCUCUGGAAUUGUCAAUUGGUCCUAUGUAUUGUGAACUGAUUAACUUGAAUUCAUUGUCUAUCUUUUUCAUUCUUUUAGGAAAUAGUGAUUAUUUACGAGAACUGUUAUUUGGGAUUUCAUACUUCUGGAAUUGUGAUUUGUGAUUUUUGUUUUUGUAGACCCAAUCUGGUAAAAUUUAUUGCCUCUGUUGUUGUUAUUUUUGCAUUUGAUAAAGGCUACCUCAUUCUUAUUACAUUUUCAAUAAAGAGAAUUUAUUCUUUAUUUCCUAUUCCUAUCAAUUGAUGUUCGACAUGUGAUUUCAAAAAGAACAAAACCCUUUCACAAACUUCUUUUAUCAAAUCAAGAAUUGGAUUUUGUUUCUUGCUACCUGAUUUUGUAGGAAGGAUUCCCUUUGUUCUGUUCUUCUACAUUUUCAGUAAAUCUAGAACCCUCAAUUUAAAGAGCAUCUCUUCAAUUAUCCUACUUUCAACAUUCAUAAAGUGCGAAUUAGGUAAUAUGUGCUCAUUUGAGAUGUCUGAGUAAUGGAGAGAUUCUGUUACUGGAAAGAGUUUUGAGAUAGGGAAGAACAAGAUCAAGAUAGAGAGAUUGGAGAUUGCGGGUUAUAGGCAGAACACGUUCCUAAAUGAUGAACGAAAUCUUGAACAAAGUCAACUGUCAAUUCUAUAUGACACAAAUAUCUUGUUCACAUGUUUGCUCAUUAGAAAGUUUUUCAUCUUCGUUGGAUGGAGGUAAUUUCUUCUUCCUACAUCUUUUUUACGAAUGCUUAGAAUGGAAAUUGCGAUCUUGACUAGUUAUAGGGAAAUUUUUUCUAUGUUAUAGUUUUAGACUUCUUGUAUGUACUAAUCAUAUAUCCAGACAUCAUUAGUUUUCAGGAUUUCCUUUCGUUUUGAUUAUUUUCACAAUCUAUAUGUGUAUAUGUAAUAAGACACUAUGUUCUAGAAAAUUCAGUGUUCAACACCACCAACACUCAAUUUUCUUCUUACAUCUAGCAGUAUUCAUGUACUUUUUGUUUGGGUCAUAGUUUAACUAUUGGAAUACAUUUUCCUAUUUCUUAUGCAUAUAGUGUUUGGAACCAAGAGGGAUUAUAUGUUAAUAAAAACAUACUUUGAUUGACACCCAUUAUUAAAUACCAUGGCAGAGAAGUUUCUUAACUUUUUGGUAAAAACUGUGAUGAUGGAAUAUUACACUCUCCUCCACAAAAAACAUAAGAUACAUGCCGACCUGGUGAUAAUGGUUGGUGUCUAUCAGUAUGGAUUUUAAACUCUUAGUUCCAUAUUGACCCCAUAUGAGGUACCAUCUAAUAAAAAAACAUUCAAUGUCAUUAUACAUCUGUAAAGACAUGUGGGCAUGGUGGCUUUUCCACGACCUUGUGUCUAAUUCCGUAUUUCCUUGUUAGAGAAAAUACUGCUGCCCAUGUCCAAAAUAGGUAUACAUAUCUGUGUCCAUGUUGCAUUGUUGCAACAUUCUUGUUUGGUUACAGCCUACCCCUCUUUAAGUCCUGGAUUGUUUAAAAUGAGUAAGAUCUAUUCUAAUGGAAUGCUUUAUUCUUUUAGGCUUGUUUUCUUUCGGUGAUUUUAGUAGUCGUUGAAAGAUAUUCGAAGAUUAGUCUCUGAACAAGAUAAAAAAAGGUGAUAUGUUUAUCUUGUCUGCAAUUAGUAACAUAAUUACUCAUUAUGUAUUUGUCCGAUGAAAUGCAUUUAUGAAUACUGAAUUCUUUUCAAUUACUUGCAACAGGAGUGACCGAAUUAUGAAAGUUUGAUCAAGAUAUAUGCUGUUGUGUUUUGAUAUAGUCCUGCUGCUUCAUAUAUUCUCUUAUGAUUCCUUGUCUAAUGUUGUGUUUGUACAUAUCUCUUGACUGGCAUUGGCUCCAGAAAUCAUUCAGAAGGCAGGAUCAUAAGAUUGAUGUGAAAUCCUUUUUCUGAUGAAAGGUAAGAGUUAAAUUCAAUCACUAACCUAACAGGCAUGCUACCUGCAGACACCCAAUACAACUGUCUCAUGAAAAGUUGAAACAUAUACUGAUGAUCCAAGCCCUACAUCGCACUGGCCUCAUGAUGAAUGUGUCUUCACCUAGGAUUGUAUGUCUAUUCAUCAGGUGAGCCACACUUGUAUUGAGAAAAUGGAUAGUUAAAAGUCACCUUAUUAGUGGACUGACCAUAUUUUAAACCAGGAAGCUUUCACCAAGGGUUAGACCUGAUGAAUGGAUUGGAUCUCAUACAUGUAUGCCAUAUUGACACAUGUGAGGGGCCUUCUGUUUGUACUCUGCAGAAGUACAGAUACAGGAAGCAUUCAUCUUAACUCCAUCAAAUGAAAAUUUUCUAUACAUUGUCUAAUAUUUUCAAAUUUGUGUCUACUUUAUUUAUAUACUAUCUCCACUACAGCCAAAGAAUUGGGUUAUGUUCAUAGGAAUGUAUCAACUUGUAACUGUAACAUUCUCUAGAAGUUCAGUUAACAGUUAUAGCAUCACUGCCUUAUGUGUAGGAAUUGCAAAAUCGAUUACAGCUAUUGCAAGAAAUGCUCACUGAUAUGAAGUAUAGAUUGAGGGGCAUCAUUGUCUGCAGUUACCUAAUCAUGGCAACAUAUGGAAGCUUAAGUGAAGAUAUCGACUGAUAUCGACUUUCGGAUGGCUCAAUGGUACAUGCAUGGUUUUCUUAAUGCAUGUGGAUAAUAACUAGUUUUAGAGAAAAAAAAAAAAUUUAAUCCAAGUUACUGUUAUGUUACGGAGAUGCCGCAUACUUGGUGGAAUUUUCAUAUACAGAUCUGACCAAACUUCCAUUCAAUACAACAGCUUGGCUUAGAGAAGCUAGACUUGGUGCCUCUCAUCCAUGUUCAAGUCUCUGAGGGAAAAGGGGGAUACAAGUCGAAGUAAAGGUUGUCUACAGAAUACAUAUUGAUUGGAGAAUCUGAGCUACCUAAUUAAGCUUCACAGUCAGAUUAUGAAGACCGCACGUAUUCUCACAUCUAUCGCUUGUGGGUGAUUGUACAAAAAACAUGCGGAUAGGAGAAUCCUACCUAUCUGAUUUUCUCUAUUGAGUGUAGACGAUUGGCUAAAUUUUUACAACACCUGUUUGCUUGAACGUUGUUACUCAGAAAAAUAGGAUUUUCCGAUUGAUGUGAUAUUUAUACAGUUGCCUGUCAACCAUAGGGCUUAUAAGAUUGACAUACCAGAUAAUACACCCAUGAGCCGUGCAGGCCCAGUCAAGCAGUGGACCCAUAGGCAUAAGAUCAAGCUCCAAAUUGAAAAUGAGUCAAUAGGUCUCUUGUUUGUUAAGGGUGGGCAAUUUUGUCUUCAAAAGGGAUUCUUUAAAUUGAUCAUAGUUAUUCCUCAUCGCUUGUGAGUUCAUCAGCUAGCUAAGCUUCAUAAAUUGCUUUUGGGAAGGAAUGGUCACUUUGCUAGCUGUUUGUAGCUUUAUACAUGUGUUCAAUUAGAAAGACAAUGUAUGUAAAACAGAUCUGCAGUCUGACUCUUAUGCUUGUUACAAGUAACCAAACAGGUCUUAUGUGUGAUAUUUAUGUUAAGGAA